GACGAAGCUGGCGGCGCGUCUUAAGCAUGCAAGUCGAACGAAUGUCCACCCUCGGGUGGGCGGAAGUGGCGGACGGGUGAGUAACACGUGGGUAAUCUGCCCUCCGGUGGGGAAUAGCACAUGGAAACAUGUGAUAAUACCGCAUGAUACGCGGCGGCGGAUGCCGCCGUGGGAAAGCUCCGGCGGAUACGGAUAGGCUCGCGGGACAUUAGCUAGUUGGUGAGGUAACGGCCCACCAAGGCGACGAUUGGUAGCCGGACUGAGAGGUUGAACGGCCACAUUGGGACUGAGAUACGGCCCAGACUCCUACGGGAGGCAGCAGUGGGGAAUAUUGGGCAAUGGGCGCAAGCCUGACCCAGCAACGCCGCGUGAGGGAAGAAGGUUUUCGGAUUGUAAACCUCUGUCCUUGGUGACGAAGGAAGUGACGGUAGCCAAGGAGGAAGCCCCGGCUAACUACGUG
rnacentral:rRNA from 1 species